UUAAAGCGCAGUGCGCAUGCGCUUCCUUCACUACACGCUCAGCUGCUGUGUGUGUGUGAGAGAGAGAAAAAGAAUGGGUCGAGGUGGCAGCUAAAGAACUGAAACACAUACUCUGACGCGUUAAAUCCUGCUCUGUUAAAACCGAGAUCACUUCACGAACCUUUUAAACAACCCGGAAUCACCAGACCGGAAGUGAGGAUCUCUGUGGAAACUGGGACACAGCGGAUCACAGGAUGUGUGAAAUGUAACCCGAACUCCAAGACAGCAUUUGCACCACCGGGACACUUGAACUCUCACCCCCUGCCAGAAUGCCCUGAUAUUAGAAGAUACGGCCAGGCAUGCCAUUUGGUCUCUGUGGUUUCCUCACUACUUAGCCAGUUGCAUCAAAAUUCGCAGUGGGGUGGGUAGAUGUCUUUGAUAGUGACUUGUAUGUAUACAUUUGUGUUUGACUCCAGUGGUGACAGGAAAAACUUGUCCAGUCCAAUGUCUUUAAUGCUACCACUGUGAGGUGCACUGUAUUUUGACAUCUGCGGUGACAAUAUAGGAUCCUUGUUGCCUAAUUCUAAGUCAUUUCUCUCUUGCUUUGUGCAG
ensembl:lncRNA